UGUAAUGCUUUGAUUGGUGCUUGUUGUUUAAUUUUAUUCAUUGCAUUACAUGUUUGAAUGAUUUUUGGUGCAUUGAAUUUUUGUUUAUUUAAAAAUUUUUUUGAGGAAGAGGUGUUUGGAAAAUUCAAAUCUUUGAGAAAGGAGAUGAUUGAGAAUCGUUUUUGGAGAGAAAGUUUUUUAAAAGAUUGGUUAAACGGGUUUAAUCUUCACAAUCAUAUUAAGUUAAAUUCAUAUUAAUUAUCGUCUUUACUCCACUAUUUAUUAUUUUGACGAUAAUUUAAUAUAUGAUUUCUUAAUGCAUAUAUUCAUCAAAACUUUGAAAUCAAAUUUGAUUUUUUGGUGAUUAAUUCAUCUUAGUUGUGAGUGUUGGAUAUGAUGAAUGGAUAUUCUCUAAUUGACUAAAAUUCGUCAAAAUUAUUUUCAACUGUGAGAUUGUCUAAUUCAGGGGGAGUUUGAAAUUGUUUGAAAAAAAAAAGGAGAAAGAGAAACUCCUAUAUGUAAAAGAUGUGGAAAGAGUUACAUCCUAAAAGGAGUGUGAAAACUACCACCACAUGUAGGAAAGAGCUACCAUCCCGGUCGUCCGGCAAAUGUGUGAAGCUACCACAUGAAGAUUGAAUUGAGUAACCGAAAAAGGUUGAAAAAAAUUGAAUAUUUUAGAAUUUUCGGAGUUAUAAGGUGGUAAGUUGAAAAGAUGCUCAAAGAGCCACCCCUGGUAUCAUAUUAGUUAAAUCUCUAUUUUGAACAUGUUGCGACAAAUUGGUGUUAAUUUUUGUUGAAUUUCUAAAAAUCAUUUUUCAUCAACUUACAUCUUGAUGGUUUUGAAUCAUUAAAUUAUUUUUGAUAAUGAAAUUUUGAUGUUUUGAUGUAUUUUGAAAUUCUAUAAUAUCUUAUUGUCAUUAUAAUGAUUCUUGGAGUAAAAGCCUUAAUUUAUUUGAAAUUAAUUUAAUUUGAUGAAUUUUUAAAGCAAAUUUUUCGAAAUCUGAGAUCGUUCAUCGAGCUUAGUCUCUCUCUUUCUCUACAUUUGCAUUUUAGGAUGAUGUUUUAGUUUCAGUUCUGCUUGUUUUUUUUUGGCCUGUAACUAUGACUUGACUACGCUUACAUUUUUCUAGUAUGUUUUCUCUCUCUAUUUUAUUUCUUUUGGCAAUUUUUGACAAAAAGAGGGAGAGCGUAGAUGAAGGGGGAGAGCAUGGAUGAACAGGCAAUGAACUAAGCAGAGGAUGAUGAGUUCAAGAACAAAGGGGGAGAUGUGAUCGAGAUGUGAAGAACAAAGGGGGAGAAGGUAUAAGAAUUUAAGAUUAAUCAUUUUUGAAUGAAUUGUUUUGCAGGAUUUCAAGACUUCAAGACUCCUAGUUGCGUCUAAGUCAUAGAGUCUGUUUUAGGAGUUUUUGUUAUAAUUUUGAGUUUCAAAUUGUAUUUGGAUUACACGCGAGGAGUUCAAUGUUUUGGUGAUGACAAUUGAACUUCGUUUUUCUUUACGAUGUAAUUUUGGAGUUUGUGUGAGUUUUGUCACGAAAUUGCCAAAGGGGGAGAUUGUUAAGUCUUGUGUGUUGGCAAGUUUCGUGAAGUGAGUCGGAGUCUUGAAGAAUCGGUGUGUGUCGUCGACGAUUGAAGAAUUCAAGAUUUCGAAGAAGUUGGAAAAUAACUCACGAUAUGAAUCACGACGUAAAGGUAAAGUUUUAAUUCAUGUUAUGGUGAUUCAUGCUUAAUUAUAGGCAUUAGAAUCAUAUAAUCAAAGUUUAGUUGAUUAGAAAAUGCUUCGGAACUUUGCGGAACCCGAAACGGUGCAAAAUCUGAAAAAUUGCAUUGUGUACCGGUACAGCCAUUAUCCCGUACCGGUACAGCCAUCAACUUUGGCUUCGAAAAUUUGUUCCGUCAUUGUGUAACCGGUGACAGCAUUUCGCGUACCCGUACACAGUGUAAAAUCGUGAAAACUUUCUAAUCCGACUCCGAUUGAUUCUAAAGUCUAUAAAUAAGCUAUUGGGCUUCUCUAACACAUCAAGCAUGAUAAGAAUACAUGUUUGAGAAACCCUAGAGGCUCGGAUUUCAUUCUAAACCUAUUUUCUACAAAUUAGCCUCUUUAGAUCAAAUCGAGAUAUCGUUUCGCAUUCUCUAUAUGUCGAUUUGAUCUCCGCUUCGCUUGGAGUUCUAUUCCCUGGUUUUCUACGAUACUCCUAAGCGAAGGAUCACCAUACACAUGAUGCUCUUCAUGAACGGCGUCGUGGAUUCGGCGUGAACGAAGACGGUUCGUGGAUUCGGAUCGUGAGCUCGUGGAUUCGAGUGGGCGUCGUGGAUUCGACGUGAUCGAGGCUUCGUGGAUUCGAAGUGGUGACGUUUCGUGGAUUCGGGACGUGGCGUUCGUGGAUUCGGACGUGGGGCGUGGACAACCCGUUGGUGUGCGCGAGAUCCGGAGAAGAUAGAAGAGAGGUUUGAGUCCGUGGAUUCGGUAAAUCACCUUGUAAUCUUUUAUUCUUAGUGGAUUGUUAUCGCGUGUUGGUCCCGUGGGUUUUUUACUCCGAGUUUGGAGUUUUCCCACGUAAAUCUCGGUGUGCUUUUUAUUUUUCGCAUUUAUUUUUAUUGCAUCGAGAUUUGUGAUUUUUUUGGCCUUUCACCUAUUCACCCCUCUCUAGGUGAUAGAUACAAUCUAGAUAGAUCCUUGGGCUCCUCAAAACUUUCACACUACUCCGCGACACUUUUGACACGGUCAUGCCUUGCCGGCGAUCGUAUGCUCUGAAAAAAUGUAAAUAAUAAAAGGGUGAGAACUAUAGUUAGUUCUCAGUAGAUGCAAUUGCAAAAAGUAGUCCUCUACACUCGGUCCAAAGGAGGUAUUAAUAGACAAAUAUUGAUAACAACAUAUAUUGCUACAAAAGGAAUGCAAUCAUUAAAUUUUCAACUACAAUAACUUGAGCAUACAAGAUGCUGCUAUGUUUCUGAUUACAUGUUUACCCAACUAUCUCAUGUCUCUAACCAUUUAUUUGAUUGGUUCAUUGACACAUACACAUCUCUUGAAGAGCCGAGAGAGAUCAUACUACUCUCUAAUUUGUAAACACACACCUCAUAGAGAACUGAAGGAGAUCAUACUCUAAUUAGUAGGGACUUGGAGUGAAGGGCGAUCGUCCCUCCGAGUACCACACAUGAAGUCAAGAGCAUCAACACUCCAAUGCAUAGCGGGAGUCGAGGGUGAUCGACCCUCCCAAUGCACAUGAGAGAGUCGGUGAUUGGCACUCCUUAAGGAUACUUCCAAAAGGACACAACAAACUCUUGUGACACCCUAAAUUCAUAUGACUUCUAGGAUUGUUAAACAUGUCCAAUAUACACAAACUUGUCCUCUAGUUCACAUUUAACCUAGAGUUCAUAUGUGAGACCCCAGGUAAUACUAUAUAUAAGAUAUAAUAGGGCUAAACUCUUAACCCUGUUUAAGCAUUUUGGGUGGUAGCUAGUGUCAGAUCAUUGGCGCUUACCAUUAAUCCCAAAAGCUUGAGCUGUUAAAAAUACGCAACCAAUUCAUUUAAAGCGUAUAGAUAAAGCGCCCACGGGUCUCAAUUGUGACUCAGCUCAACUAGCCUCACGCCACUUCGAACAUGACUCGGCCCACCGAGCCUUACGCCAUUUCGAAUAUGACUAGGCCCAACAGGGCCUCCCGCCACAAGGCAGGAUGCUGACCCAUUCAAGCCAACAAUCCCCUCUCCAGCACAUGCACACAUUUGCAGCAUGUGGGAAUCGAACCCGUGACCUUUGGUUCUGAUACAACUUGUCGGAUCGUUGGCGCUAACCAUUAAUCCUAAAAGCUCGAGCUGUUCGAAAUACGCAACCAAUUCACUUAAAGCAUAUAGAUACAGCGCCCACGGGUCUCGAUUGUGACUCGGCCCAACCAGCCUCACGCCACUUCGAACAUGACUCGGCCCACCCAGCCUCACACCAUUUCGAACAUGACUCGGCCCAACAUAGCUUCCCGCCACAGGGCAGGAUGCUGGGUCAUUUAAGCCAACAGCUAGAUUUAAGAGGUUAAGAGAGUUAAGCGUGCUAGGAUGGGAAUAAUCCUAUAAUGGGUAAUNGCCCAACCAGCCUCACGCCACUUCGAACAUGACUCGGCCCACCCAGCCUCACACCAUUUCGAACAUGACUCGGCCCAACAUAGCUUCCCGCCACAGGGCAGGAUGCUGGGUCAUUUAAGCCAACAGCUAGAUUUAAGAGGUUAAGAGAGUUAAGCGUGCUAGGAUGGGAAUAAUCCUAUAAUGGGUAAUCCCCUGAAAAGUUGGGUUGUCACAAUUGGUAUCAGAGCCAAUUAAUAGCCGGAAGUGUGAGAUGAGUCUCAGCUGAGUCAUGUUUAGACAACAGGAAGAGCGAGGCUCUCAUGCUGUUUACUGUUGUGAGUAGAGCGCAGCUCACCACAAGGUCAGUUUAGGCUAGCGAGAUGAGUCUCAUAUCGCCUGGUACUUGUGAGUCUAAGCCUGAUGAAAACAUCAGGGCGUAAAGGGAGGGAGAUUGUGAGACCCCAAGUAGUCCUAUAUAUAAGAUAUAAUAUGGCUAAACUCUUAACCCAGCUUAAAUAUUUUGGGUGGUGGCUAGGCCUAAGAGGUUAAGAGAGUUAAGAGUGGUAGGACGGGAGUAAUCCUAGAAUAGGUGACCCCUGGGGAGUUGGGGUGUAACAUCAUAUGUCUCUAUGUUCAACCUUAGAAUUUGACCUCAGUUCAGAUGCCACACUUAUUUAACCUAUAUCAAAGAUUUACAUUUUACUCGCAUGCAUAAGUUAAUUAUUUCAUUCGCAUACAAAAGGCUAAAAUAAUGUUUUCUAGCAUACCCCUAAAAUCUCAUUUAGUUUGAUUAUCUUACAUAAUACAUGCUAAUAAAUCCAAGAAAAAAUAGGCAAAGGGAAGAUCAAACUCUUUUCGGUGAUAUUCCCUACCUUUACUAAUUCUUGUACAAGAAGAUGAACUUGAUCUCCUAAAAGACAGAAAAUUUCUAAAAAUGACUAUAGCACAAUUAAAGCCUAAAAAUUUCCAUUAGAAUAAACCAACCAAACGUAGGAGAGACAUAGGAUUACAACAAUUCUAAAACCUCAAGAUUACAACAAUUCUAACCAAGGGUACAAAAUGAAUACAUAGGAUCUCACAUAAUGUACAAUUACAUCACAACACUAAGCCACUAAAUAAAUUUGUGGGUUCAUCUAUCAGACAUUGUGAGGCUCUAGCUAGUCGUUGCCUCCCUUGCCACGAUCCCUAGCCUUUCCGGCUGCGGAAGGCUCUGAAACAAAAACAACCAACCAAUGGAGGUAAGAACUAUUAAACAAUAGUUUCCAGUGGAUAUGCUGCCGAGAGUGGCGAAAAACACCACUAGGUCAAUGAGGCAUAGAUAUGAUAUAGGAAGUAUGAAAUAUAAAUGCAACAAAUAGUAGAAUAAUCUCAACUAUAUCAUGCCUCUAUAUGAUAUGUCUCUAGCAUGUAUAUGAAUUCCAAGGAAGAUCCAAAAUAAUACAAUCAGGUCAACAUCUCCCUACAAGAAAUCUUAAGGAAGAUCCAAAAUCCCACAGCUCGGCAAGCAGCCGAACAAAGAACACCAACAAUGCACCCGUCAAAGGUAAAGCUCCAUCCCAGGUAUCACGCAAGGAGUAAUACCUACGGCAACCUCCUUGGCUGCCAACUCAUCCAUCAUCGAACCAAAAGGUCUACCUCUACCAGGUGCCCUCCAAGGUGAGGUCGGUACCAAUGCUGCUAACAUCCCAAUCUUCGAACACUCCCAUCGAAGAUGAUCUGUCUGACUAUCCAAGAAACAUUUGUUUUCGUGUUACGAGCACGGCAAAAAUACGUGUAGACAUCCACGGUUCACACAUCGUAAUAGCUGCCGGUGCUAAGCUGUUCUUCACCAAUAUGAGAAUUCACGCCCUCAAGAUCAAUUCCUUUCAUUUAAGCAUCUUGAUAGAUCGCUUACUCAUCACUUACCACUCUUGGUGGCUUCCUUUGCAAUUCCAAUAAUUUUCAUGCCUUUCUCCUCCGUCAAGGCCUGAUCCAAAUCUCGAAAAGUUAUUGCAGUCAGCUGCUUACAGAUUUGACAUGCCCUUUCACAGCUUAAGUCCCUCAUCCAGUCGGCACAAGUCUCGGCUUGGAAUAAUGCCACAAACGAAACCAAAACAGUAAGCUGCUCACCACAUCCGGACCUCACUUGAUCCGGAGGAUGCAGACUUCCCCAGCUUGGCCACCUCGGCCGCCACGGAGCACGUCUUCGGCAUCCUGAGCUACCACAAGCAACAAACAUAACAAACAUGGGUUAAAACAACUCACGUCGACGAAUCCCCACACAAAGGUACCAAUCCCUCAAUCACGCGAAAGUAGCGAAGCGACUCCAACUAUUCUUCGAUGUCACGUUGUCGGCCGCCAACGUGACUCUCCAAGGACAUAUAAGUUAUCCACUUCGAUCCAACUCCACCACUCUGGAAGUUAUAGACAUGACCCAAUCAUAUUACUUUCGCCAACAAGUCUCAAAAGUCCCCGUCUCUCACGCUCCUAGCGCUUAUCGUUCAACCGGCCUAAGGUUUGCUAGGUCCCCUAAGACUCAACCCUAGGCUCUGAUACCAAACUAAUCUGUCAUGCCCCGGGCUGCAGCGAAAGCCUGCCGGGCGCGUGCCCAGACCCGCCGUGCACACCAAAAGCCACGAUGUGCACAAGGCGUCUACAAUAGCCAAAGAGAGCAAUAGAAAAAUUCAUCCUAGACAUGGUAACCAGAGCAAGAAUAUACAACAGCUAGAUAGAAAAAUUUGGAACUAAAACCUCAAGAUUACAACAAUUCUAACCAAGGGUACAAAAUGAAUACAUAGGAUCUCACAUAAUGUACAAUUACAUCAUAACACUAAGCCACUAAAUAAAUUUGUGGGUUCAUCUAUCAGACAUCGUGAGGCNCAUCUAUAGUUACUCCGCAGAGGCUCUAGCUAGUCGCUAACCCCUUGCCACGAUCCCUACCCUUUCCCGUUGCGGAAGGCUCUAAAAUAAAAACAACCAACCCAUGGGGGUGAGAACUAUUAAACAAUAGUUUCCAGUGGAUAUGCCGUCGAGAGUGGCGAAAUACACCACUAGGUCAAUUGAGGCAUAGAUAUGAUAUAGGAAGUAUGAAAUAUAAAUGCAACAGAUAGUAGAAUAAUCUCAAGUAUAUCAUGCCUCUAUAUGAUAUGUCUCCAACAUGUAUAUGAAUUCCAUCUCUAUAAUUACAUGCAAAAAUAAUUAUGUAUGCAACAAUAAAUUGCUAGUCCACAUCUAAACCAUGAUUAUUUAAUAUGGUAUAAUUCUCACAUUGUCAUUGACAUUAUAUGGUUAUAGUCAUCAUUGAGCUAUUGUUCUACAUUUAACAUCACAAGUGUAGGUUACAAAUACUAAGGGUGUCAAUGCAACAAUGUUCCACAACAAAAACCUCCCUCUACUAUGAAUGCAUCAAAUCUCAACAUAGGGUAACCAACUACUAUUAUGACUAUCUAUUAGGUAUGCAUCCAUAAGUAUCAAGGGUAUCAACUUACUAGUAUAUCCAACAUAAUGUCAAGUCUAUUUAACUCUUGGUUAACAUAGUUCAAUUCAUCAAGAUCUACACAAGUGUAGUCCGGCUUGUGCCACCUAAUUGCCCGUGGUAAUCCAUCAUUCCCUCUCUAGGAAUGAGCCCAUACCACGCCGACCCAGUAGGCACCCAAUACUGCACGAGCGAGCAUCUGUCGCGUAUGCCAACUUCGGAGUGCCGGCUUGUGGGGAGCGACCCUCACAAGCAUGUGCGAAUGAGCACAAAUGGCAAGCAAGUAUGAUUAUCAUCUCAAGUAUAUGGUCGUCAUGUCUCAAACAUGGUAUAAAUACUAGCAACCCAAAGGUCUAGUUCUAUGUCAUAGUGUAUAAGUUUAACCAUUCACUAAGUCCAAUGCCUCUUUAUGACAUUGUUAUUUUCUAUGCUAUCGCACAUGUUCCAAGCACAUUAAGGUUCACAUUUCAUUAUUCUAAUGAAGAUGGUUCUAUGCCUCAUUCAUGAACCUACCAAUGUGUACUACUACCACUAUAAUGCCAUAUGCAAAAAAGGUAAUCUUCUAAUGUCAAAUCCAAUGAACCCCAUGGGUGUCUUAUCAAGUCAUCGUAUAUGUCAUGCAUAUACCUUUCUACAUGAUGCCUCCACUUCAUGGAGUAUUAUAAAUAUCCAUACAUAGCCAUGCAAAUGCUUAAUUUCAUUGAACUACUCAAGUAUAUACUUAUCAUUUACAUAUCAUUUGCAUAUUCUAACACAUAAAACUCCUACAUGCCUUUAGUAUAAGGGUUCAUCUAUCAACUCAUAGGUCGGCAACAUAGUGUGCAUCACUACAUGAGCCACCUCUACAUAGAGUAUAAAAUUAUCAUGCAAGUGCAUAGCUUUCUUUUACUCAUGCAACAUGUACUACAACAUGCUUUACUCUUUACUAUAGAGAGUACAUCAACCAUCUUACGCAUCAUACGGAUGUCAAGUAUUCGAACUAUAUCAAUCAUCGUGUCUAAAACACGGAAUCUCAUUUGUCAACUUAAGGGUCAACAUAAUGUUACCCGGUAAACUUAGUUGUUCAUUUAAGCUAAGUACAAUAUUCAUGGCUCUACAUCAAAUGGUUGACAUAUCGUACAUCAUGCUCAUCUUUAUCUAGUAAGAAAUUAGUUGCAAAGUCCACUCGUUCCAUUAGCCCUCUAGAGUCUCAAAUGACCUAGAAUUCAUCUCUAUUAUGCAUUCCUACAAUGCACCAAAAGGAACAUGUCCUCGUACUAUAAUUUCAUAGAUACACCAUGCAUGCUUUCAUCAAUUGUUCUCUACUACAUAGAGCAUACAAAAUGUUAUACAUAACAUGUAUAUUUCAAGCACUCUAAAAUUCUAUCAUGGCAUAAAUAUCAUGAUUAUGCUACAAUUAAGUCCUAUAAUAUCAUAGGAGACAUAAGGGGAGUUCACCCAUUUUAGUGAGGUCAAACCCACCGGAUCACAUCCGAACGCUUUCGUUCUUCCGAACAAAGUUCUCCACCGAGUUUCUAGCACCCUAAGAAGAAUUCUGAAGGGUUAAAAGCUUCCAAAUAACUAUUUCGAAAAUCUUCGAAAAUUGCACAUGUAAGAAGUGAAAAAUACCUUAGAUCAAGAAGAACUUGAUCAUGUAAGUUUUGAGGAGCCCUAGGAUCUAUCUAGAUUGUAUCAAACACCUAGAGGGGGGUGAAUAGGUGUAAUGACCAAAAACCACAAAUCUCAAUGCGAUAAAAGUAAAUGCGAAAAAUAAAAAUCACACCGAGAUUUACGUGGGAAAAACUCCAACUUGAAGAAAAAAACCCACGGGACCAACACGCGAAAAAAUAAUUCACUAAGAGAAAAGAUUACAAGGUGAUUACCGACUCUACGGACUCGACCUCUCUUAACCUCCUAUGAAUCUUGCGCAAUCCUCCGGGUUGUCCACGCCAUCACGUUCGAAUCCACGAACGCCUCGUUCACGUCCGAAUUCACGAACGCCACUCGAAUCCACGAGCCCACGAUCCGAAUCCACGAACCGCCUUCGAUCACGCCGAAUCCACGACGCCGUCCAUGAAGAACAUCAUGAUUAUGGUGAUUCUUCGCUUAAGAGUAUUGAUGAAAACCAGAGAACAAUCUCCAAGCGAAGUUUAGAUCAAUUCGACAUAUAGAUAUGAAAUUUCAAUACUUCGAAUUGAUCUAAAAGAGGCUAAUUUGUAGAAAAUAGGUUUUGAGCGAAAUCCUAGCCUCUAGGGUUUCUCAAACAUAUAUUUUCGUGAUGUACAAUGAGUUAGAGAACCCUAAUACUUUAUUUAUAGACUUUAGAAUCAAUUAGAGUCGGAUUAGAAAGUUUUCAGAUUUUUACACUACGUACCGGUACUAAAAUAAGUUGUUACCGGUUACACAAGGACGGAACAAAAAACUUUUAAAUACUGAAAACCGGUUACAAAGUCAAUGUUGUACCGGAACCAAUUUAGUACCGGUACACUUUCAAUGCUGUACCGGUACACAGUGAAGUUUCCAAAUUUUGCACUAUUUCGGGUUUCACAAAGUUGUGAAGCACUUUCUAAUCCACUAAACUUUGAUUUUCAUGAUUCUAACGUCUAUAACUAAGUAUGAAUCACCAAUAACAUGAAUUAAAACCUUACCUUAGCAUCGUGAUUCAUGUCGUGAGUUAUUUCUGAUUUUUUCGAAAUCUUGGAUUCUUCGAUCUUCGACAAUAUGCACCGAUCCUUCAAGACUCCGACUCAACUCACGAAACUUGCCAAUACAAAAUACUUAACAAUCUCCCCCUUUAGCAAUUUCGUGACAAAACUCAAAAACACAAAAUUACAUCAUAAAAGAACAACGAAGUUCAAUGUCAUCACCAAAAAUAUUGAACCCCUCGCGUGUAAUCCAAAUUACAUAUGAAGUUCAAAAUUAUAUCAAAACUCCUAAAACAGACUCUAUGAUUUAGACGCAACUGGGAGUCUUGAAGUCUUGCAUUCCUGCAAAACAAAUUAUCCAACAACGAUGUAGAAAUUUAAAAACAUUAGAUGCUUAUACCUUCAAAGUCAUUGUCCUCGAAAUUUCAUUGCUCCUCCCCCUUUGUUCUUGAAUUCUCCUCCUGCUUUGAUCAAUACCUGUCCACCUAUGUUCUCCCCUUUUUUAUCAAAAAUUGCCAAAACACAGCAUAUAGAGAGAAAAUAUACUAGAAAGCAGAAAAAUAGUCAUGUCAUAGAUACAGGCCUACAAGUAAAGCAAAGACAAGCAAAAACUAAACAUAGUCCUAGGAGAAAAGAUAAAACAGAAAUACUAAGGCUCAAAGACAUUAUCACUCUGUGUCCUCAUCAUCAUCAUCCUCUCCAGCUCUAUCUCCUCCAACAUCAGGUGCACUGGUAGUCGGUGGAAUAAGCGGAUGUGUCGAUGUCGAUCUAGUGUAGGUAGGAAAAACAUCGUCGUGUCGACAUCCAAGCUUCUCCAUUAUCCUCUUCAUCCCUUUUUCCAAUCUCUUUAAACCUUUCUUAACAGAAUGCACCUCACGGUGAAGUGACUCUACAGUAAUCACUCUCCCUGAGCUUGAAGAUCCCUCUCGCUCUGCACGAUGUGGAUGUGCAGAACUAGAAGCCGCACGUGCCUGUCCCUUGGUCUGCUGAAAAGUCUUCAAAGUGCUCACUGACUUGGCCCAUGUCACUCCAUCAAUCGGUCCAAGGCCAUAGUCAUAUUUCUCACAUGUCACGUCUAUUCCAUUUUCUUGCAUAAUCCGCGUGAUCAAUAUAGGAAAUGGAAGUAGCUCACGUUGUCCCGAAGACUAUAUCACGUGCACCAUUCGUUGCCACAUUAGGAACGGAAUAUUGAUAUUUAAACCAUCUGCUUGCUCGGGGUGGCCAAGGAGAUAUAGAAGCACAAGUCGAUCCCAGCGAAUCCUUUUAGUCCCAAUAGUAGGUUGAACGUUGUAACAAAGAACCAAGGACAAAAGGUGAUACUCAGGCCGCAAGUCCUUCGACUCCACAUAACCAUGGUUUGUCCUCGUUCUAUCUUUGCAAAUUGCACGAACAACCAUGUCCCAGUGAGAUGAAGACUGAUAAAUCCCUGAUGUAUAAUGAAGACCCGUGGUAUCUACAUGCAACCCCAAAAGCUCACCAACUGUGUGUGGGGUAACAAGAAUCCUCUGCUGGCGCACAUAUGUCUCGAAUAAGUACGUGUCGCUCUCCUCAUCCUCUGCUAGAACCUUUCCACACAUGUAGAACUCCCGAAUGAGUUCCACACAAAAAGGUGAACGUGCCGAAACCCGUCCAACGAGCUCGAUAGGAGCUCUCUGAAGUAAACACCCAAAGUCUGGAACCUCCCUGACAAGUUCGUUGAAGUUCACAUAACGUUCCCCAAGGCACGAUCUACUUGAGAAUGCUUUUCGCCGCUCCGUUUGAAUCUCUGCUGCAUGCUUUGAGCGACUUUCAUGCUCACGAGGUCCACCUUCUCGAACGACAGGGCCACAUUUUUUCUUACGAGAGGUUUCACCUGCUAUCCCUUUUCCUUUGUCAGUGUGAACAACUGUUUCUUCAGCCUCCUCGUAGGAGCUUGCCCGAUAAUCCGAAUCAGAAUCUGACGACUCGUCGGCAGUACGAGUCCUCUUAAAAGCCCCACGACGGCCUCUCCCGCGACUACGACCACUCCCCGUGGCCAUAAGCACCAUCAGAACCAAAACCAAUGAAAAUGUCAUUUUUCCUAUACAAAAACAAACCUUGCAUGAACAUAAUCACAAUAAAAAUCUGUAAAAAAUAGUGAAAAAUUUCCAAUAAUAUUAGAAUGCAUAAUAACACUAUUUCUAACUAAUGCAAGCAAGAUUUUUCAUUAAAAGUGGCAUUUAACAUGUAAUCCCGAAAUUUUAUAUAUAUCAUGGUACAGAUUAUAGAUCAGCAAAAAAUAACGCAUUAUAUCAUGAUCUAAGUGUUCUAGAAGUGAGAAUACAUGUAUAUAAACUGAAUCACAGCAAAAAAUUGCAACAAAAAUGGUUCAAAACUGAGAUCGAGCUUCGUCCCGGAGUUCGUUAAAAACAGCAAGAACGUGAGAAAAAGAAUAAAUCCGAGCAAAAUACUCACAGAUUUUUGAAGAAACUGCGUGGAUCUGGAGGAGAAGAGUGCUUGGGAAGUUUAGAGAGAGAAAGGGAACGAUUUGAUUGAGUUUUGAGAGAUAAACAAAACCCGUAGCCGGUUUAUAAAACGCGGUCUAUAGUACUUGUACCGGUACACGGGAUUUGGUACCAGUACAGGUUGCCAAAAUUCGAAAAUUUUACCUCGAAAAUCCUUCAAAAUUAAAUUAAUUUUAUAAAAAUUAAAGAUUGUACUUCAAAAAUUAUUAUAAUGAAUAUAAAAUAUUACAUAAAUUCAUAAUUCAUCGAAACGUCAAAAUUGUGUUAUCAAAAUAAUCUAAUGAUUCAAAACCAUCAAGAUGUAAUGGUUCAUGAGAAAUGACUUUUCGAAAUUCGGCAAAAUUGACAUCAAUUUGUCGUAAAUCUUUCAAAAUAAAGAUUUAACUAAUAAAACACCGGGGAUGGCUCUUUGAGCAUCCUUUCCUCCUACCACCUUAUAACUUCGAAAAAAAAAUCUAAAAUAUUCAAUUUUCAACCUUUUCGGUUAAUCAAUUAAUCUCCAUGUGGUAGCUUCACACACUUACCGGACGACCGGGGUGGUAGCUCUUUCCUACAUGUGGUGGUAGUUUUCACACUCCUUUUGGAUGUAACUCUUUUUCAUAUCUUUUUACUCAUAGGAGUAUCUUUUUCUUUUUUUUUAAUCAUUUUAAACUCCCCAUAAAUUAGACAAUUUCACAGUUGAAAGUAAUUGACAAAUUUUAGUCUAUUAGCGAAUAUCUAUUCAUCAUAUUCAACACACACAACCAAGAUAGAUUAAUUGCCAAGAGAUCAAAAUUGAUUCCAUAAUUUUGAUGAAUAUAUGUAUUAAGAAUUCAUAUAAUAAAUUAUCGUGAAAAUAAUAAAGAGUGGAGUAAAACCGAUAAUUAAUAUGAAUUUAACUCAAUAUGAAUUUUAAUUUGGUUAAGGCACUUUGAAAAUUUUAAUCUUCCCAAAAUAAUGAUUUUAAAUCGUCGCCUUUCUCAAAAAUCAAAUUUUAAUUCCCAAUCAUCCUUCUCAAAACGAUUUAAAAAAAUUAAAAUACCAAAAAUCGUUUGAACAUAUAAUGCAAUGAAUAAUAAUAUGCAAUAAGCACCAAUCAAAGUAUUACAUAAAUAUAAGCAAACUAAGACGAAGAAUAAGGAAAGAUAUCACCUUUUCGAAUCCAAACUUGUCGGAUUGUUGGUUGUCUUGGCUUGUCGACAUUAGGCACGGUUUGCUUCAACUUUUGAUCCACCGUCGACCCUUUUGUUGCAUGUGGCUUUUGUUGAACUCGACGUUGUGGCUUUAAAUUCCGGUUUACUUGUGGUCCUCGACUCAAUCGAUUUUUCUUUUGAUUCCAUGGGGGAAGUCGAGUGGUAGAGGGUGCCGACGGACGUUUAGAAAUUGCCGGUUGAUACUUCUUAUUCGUCGCCGGGCAAUUCUUUUUGAUGUGUCUUUUAUUCCCACAUUUAUGGCAUGGCACACCUUUUCCUUUGAAUUUGUUGAGACAUUAGAAAUUGGCUUUAAAUCCUUCUCAACAUAAGUCCUUUCGUAACCGAGACCAAGCUUGUUCAUUUGACCCAAUCCGAGCAUGUGGUCCAAUUUCUUCGAUCCGGAAGAAAAUUUUUGAAUGUCGGAUUUGAGUUGACGAACUUGAUUGCUCAACACUUGAUUGGAUGCGUGAGUUUCCUUGAAUUGAUGCUCCAAAAAUCGAAUCUUGUCUUUAGAAGAUCUAAUCAUUAAUUCCGCUUCAUCAAGCUUCUCUUGGAGGAUCGAAUUAUUCUUCAAAUUUGAUUCCCUUUCCUCCUCGAGAGCUUUGUUUGUAGUCCUCAAAUUGUUAUUCUCCUCUUCAAGGUCCAAUAAACGCCUCCUCAACUUCUUAUUAUGCUUUGCUAUCUUAUUUGAUUCAAUAAGAAGUUGAUCGUAUGCUUCCGUUAUAUCCUUGUCGUUUGACUCCUCCUCGCUUUCGCCAUCAUCGCUCGAAGUUCCAUGCAAGGAAGGAGAAACACUAAAAUUAGAAACAAUAAAGGAUAAACAAACAACAUUAGACGAAGGCAAAGAAGUGUUAGUAAAUAAAGCAAGAUUUUCAUUCUUUUCUUCGUCACUUGAAGUAGAAUCAUCCCAAGUUUUCGCUUGCAAAGCCUUCGGUUUAUAAGUUUUCUUAGAAGGACAAUCCGUGGAAAUAUGGCCGUAACCUUUACAUUUGUAACAUUGGAUUUCCCCUUCAAAAUUAUUUUUUUCUUUAGAAGGCUUUGUAAGUUUCUUAUCCUUAGAUUUUGAACUUGAACAUUGUUUAGAAAACAAUUUUUGCUUCGAAGAUGAAGCCUUGUUUGAUUUGUUCUUCCGAAAAUUCUGACGAAACUUCUUCAUUAGAAGUGCCAAUUGGUGUUCAAAAUCCGCAAUUGAUAUGUCAUCGUCGGAUCCCGAGUCCUCGUCUUCCUCCUUUGUCGAUUUCAAAGCAAUCCCUGUACUUUUAGAGAAAGACUUGGAAGAAGAUUGGUUAGUAGGAAAAGUCAUCACAUAAGUUUGCAAAGCACUUACUAACUCUUCCACUUUCAUCUCAUUCGGAUGCUUAACCAUUUCAAUUGCGGCAACUUUUGCCCUAAAGUGUUCCGAAAGAGUUCGAAGAAUCUUUCUAACAACCUUAGAAUCCGGAAUUUUCUCCCCCAAGUUCGCACAAGUAUUAACAACAUCUUGUAUACGCGUAUAGUACUCGGUAAAGGUCUCGUGUUCGUCCAUACAAAUUGAAUCAAAUUUACUUGUUAAUAUUUAUAAUUUUUGAACCUUUACCAAGCUAGUUCCUUCAUGCGUAACUUGUAGAGUAUCCCAAAUUUUCUUGGCGGUUUCACACGCCGAAACACGAGUAAACUCCGUUUGAGAUAAAGCAUUAAACAACGCAUUAAUUCCCUUGCCAUUAAACGAAGGUGAUUCGUUUUCAUCUUUUGUCCACUUAUUCUAGGUUUAGGGACAGUAGCAUUAUCGACAACUUCGGUAGGAUGUUUUCACCCGAAUUCGAUAGCUUGCCACACUCACUCGUUGAUUGCAAUUAGAAAAGCUCUCAUGCGAACCUUUUAAUAGGCAUAAUUCGUGCCAUCGAAAAGUGGUGGUCGAUUAAUGUUACCGCCUUCGGCCAUUAGAUAGCAAUAUAUCUAUAUCCUUGCUCUGAUACCAAUUGUAAGUUUUGAGGAGCCCUAGGAUCUAUCUAGAUUGUAUCAAGCACCUAGAGGGGGGUGAAUAGGUGUUGUAACACACUGGACCUGUGCAAAUUGCGAGGUUCGAGUGUUUGAUAUGGAUUCCGAACUUUUUCACACUUGGUGGAAGGUCAUAGAUGGUAUUCCGACCUAAAAGUUCGAUUUCUGGAGCUUUGGCUUUGUCCUGAGAGUUUUCACUCUCGGGGACCGGUCCCUGAUAGGAGAAACCGGUCCCCUCGGAAGAGUGUUGCGGCAGUCUGUGAGGCAACCGGUCCCUAGCGGAUGAGACCGGUCCCCGAGCGCGACUACGCGGAGAGAGACCGGUCCCAUGCAGGGAGAGGCCGGUUCCCGAAUGUUGGAUUUUCGGGGCAGGCUGAGAGACCGGUCCUAGGUCGGGGAGACCGGUCCCUCAAUCCGAAAACUGCCCAGACCCAGGCAGUGCACAGGUUGCUUUGUUGGAGGGCCUAGGUGAAUAUUGUUGCAAUAGAGGGCUUUUAUGGCCACUCCACUUUCUCUCUCCUUCAUUUCUCUUCUCCCAACUCUCCCUACACUUUAGAUAGAGAAUAAGAAGAAGAAGGAGAAGAAGAAGAAGGAAGGAAGGAGAAAAAGAAAACCACCAAGAGGACUUGGAGCAUCUUUCUCUCCCUCUCUUCUUCCCUUGGGUGCUUGAAGGCUUGGACUUGGAGCUUGCUAAAGAGGAGAUCUUCACUUUUGGAACUUGGAUUGGAGCUUCUCUAGAGGUUAGUAGCCCAUUUCUCUCCUCUAGACCUAGUUUUGAUGGUUUUUGGGAAAUGGAACCCUAGAAUGGAAAAUCUAGGGUUUAUUUGGGGCUUUUUGAUUAAGGGCUUUUUGAGCUAAUCUAAUUAGAUUAGAACCUUGGUUUAGGUUGCUUUGGAAGGGAUCUAGCUUCCAUUUGAGAUUUGGAAAGGGAUUUCUACACUAUUGGUGAGAUUUUGGCCCUUUUGCUUAGUAGUUUAAUGUUUGAGCUUGUAGUUGAUCGUAAGAUUCGUUUAACCUUUGUUCUUGUGCCUCUAGGGUACUAAGAGGCUAGAGGACACCUUCGUUGGAGCUUACGAAGGGUUUCGAGACGGUUCGGUAGGUUUGACCUAGACUAACAUAUGAGAAAUUAUCAUAUCCUAUGUCUUAUGUUUCGUAAAGUAGAAAUUCAUGCAUUUCCAUGUUAAAUGUAAUUAUUGUGAAUUUUAGGAUGCUUAACAUGCCUAUGUUAUGUGUAAUAAAUUUUCGGGCCUCUAUGUAGUAGAGAACUAGCAUGUGGAACUUGUACAUGAUUGGCAUCCUAUUGAGACUUGGAAUCAUAAUUCCUAUUGUGAAAAUGAGCAUUACUUUCAUGCAUUUAAAGCUAUUCCUACUUGAGACUUAAAGGAUCUUAGUAAGCCAUAAAGAGGCUUAGGGACUUGUACUACUUGAGAAUAAUUGGGCUAAUGUCAUUAAGCGGCAUCGAGCUCGGGUCAUGUAUGAACCUAGUGUUAAGGUCAUUAAUGGAAUAUUGAAUAGGUGGUGUGCUUGACCUAUAGAAAUGCUUAAGUGUCAUAAAGAGGCACUAAGCAUAGUGAUAAAGUUGGAACUUCACCUUGAGACAUAGAACUAGAUCGUUGGAUGUUAGUGGCUAUUACCAUGUUAGAGGCAUGAGGAUUGGGUACUUGAGAUGAUGAUUAUGCUUGCUUGCCAUUUGUGCUCAUUCGCACAUGCUUGUGAGGGUCGCUCCCUACAAGCCGGCACUCCGGAGUUGGCCUACGCGACUUAUGCUCGCUCGUGCGGUAUCGAGAAACCUACGGGGUCGGGAGGGAUAGACUCAUUCCUAGAGUGGAAAUGCUGGAGCUACACCGACACUUAGGUGGCACAAGCUGAACUACACUAUGUAGGUCCUAGAACAUGUUGGAAAUAAUGACAUUGAACGGAAAAAUGACAAUCACUACUAGAUAGACUUAGUAGUUGGAUUAUUUUGACAUGCUUAUAGCAUAGUGCUGAGACAUGUAGUAUACUUGACAGUUUACUUGUUGCAUCAUAGUAUACUUGGUUGCCAUGAUAGAUCAUAAUCGUCAUACAUUGAUAGAACGGAUCAUGAUAUUUACUUGUUGCCAUGUUGGGACAUACUGUUUUGUGCAUUGGACAUACUUCACUUUAAUAAAGCAAAUGUACAAUACUUGGACAUCAUGUUUAUGCGCGACAUAGUAGCUUAGCAUUUUAUUUAUGCUUUCAUAAAUACAAUCUAUUUACUAUUAUUGUUGCUUUUUGGACUUACCCUUUUCUUUUGGGGCCUAGUGGUGCAUUGAGCUGAGGUCAGUAACUGCCUACUGGGAACUAUAAAUUAUAGUUCUCACGCCCUCUGUUUUAUGUCUUAUUUCAGAGCCUUCCACGCCGGGAGAGGCUAGGGACCGCGGAAAGGGUAUCGCCUCGAGCUAGCUUGCUAUCUAGGGACGCGUUGAUAGGUGGUCUACCUCUUGUUAUUUUUUUUUUGGAGAGGUUGAGAGUUAUAUCCAUGUGUAGUGACCACCCUUUUGUGUACCCUUUUUUGGAGAUGGUUAUUGUAUAACUUUAUGACUCACUUUUAUUGUUUAGCAUAUUUUUCUAUCACUUUGUUAUAGAUGAUAGAUUUACUCUUACUCUGAUAUCUCUAGUUGUAGAUCAUUUCUUUGGUUUUAUUUUUCGCUGUUAUUGUAGACGCCUUAUAUGUGCUGACAUAUGGCGGGUCUGGGCGCGCUACCGGGAGGGCCUCCGCCGAUCCCGGGGCGUGACAGGUGCAAUGACCAAAAACUACAAAUCCCAAGGUGAUUACCGACUCCACGGACUCGACCUCUCUUAACCUCCUAUGAAUCUGGCGCAAUCCUCCGGGUUGUCCACGCCCUCACGUCCGAAUCCACGAACGCCUCGCUCACGUCCGAAUCCACGAACGCCACUCGAAUCCACGAGCCCACGAUCCGAAUUCACGAACCGCCUUCGAUCACGCCGAAUCCACGACGCCGUCCAUAAAGAACAUCAUGAUUAUAGUGAUUCUUCGCUUAGAGUAUUGAUGAAAACCAGAGAACAAUCACCAAGCGAAGUUUAGAUCAAUUCGACAUAUAGAUAUGAAAUUUCAAUACUUCGAAUUGAUUUAAAAGAGGCUAAUUUGUAGAAAAUAGGUUUUGAGCGAAAUCCUAGCCUCUAGGGUUUCUCAAACAUAUAUUUUCGUGAUGUACAAUGAGUUAGAGAACCCUAAUACCUUAUUUAUAGCCUUUAUAAUCAAUUAGAGUCGGAUUAGAAACUUUUCAGAUUUUUACACUGCGUACCGGUACUAAAAUAAGUUGUUAUCGGUUACACAAGGACGAAACAGAAAACUUUUAAAUACUGAAAACUGGUUACAAGGUCAAUGCUGUACCGGAACCAGUUUAGUACUGGUACACUUUCAAUGCUGUACUGGUACACAGUGCAGUUUCCAGAUUUUGCACUAUUUAGGAUUUCACAAAGUUCCGAAGCACUUUCUAAUCCACUAAACUUUGAUUUUCAUGAUUCUAACAUCUAUAGCUAAGUAUGAAUCUCCAUAACAUGAAUUAAAACCUUACCUUAACAUCGUGAUUCAUGUCGUGAGUUAUUUCUGAUUUCUUCAAAAUCUUGGAUUCUUCGAUCUUCGACAAUAUGCACCGAUCCUUCAAGACUCCGACUCAACUUACGAAACUUGCCAAUACAAAAUACUUAACAGAUCAAAGCCCAAAUCGAGGCUAGGAAGCUUCAAAUCCAACCUAUAAGAGUAUUAUACACUCAUCAAUUCCAUUCCAAAAGCUCAUAAUAAGAAAAUCCCAAAAUGAACCCUAGUUUUUCAAAAACUAGGUUUUCUCCCAAAACUCAAACAAAUCUCUUAGAUAGAGCUUAAGAGAAGGUUUCUAACCUCAAAACAAGCUUCAACUUGAGCCAUCAUGUGCUAGGGUUGAAGUUUGAACCAUCCACAAGCUCCUCUCAUCACCUCCAAGCUCCAAGACGCAAGCAACCAUAGAGGAGAGGAAAAAAAAAGAGAUCAAUCCUAAAAAAUCCAAGAGAUUUAGAGGAAAAAUCAAGAGAGAAAAGGGGAAGAACUCACCUCUAUCCUCUCUCUCAAGCCUCAGCCAUUGAGGAACAAAUAGGGGGUGAAGGGGUAUAUAAACACAUUGUAACAAUAUCCCCAUAAGCCCUCCAACAAGCAGAAAUUGCAUCCUGCACGAAUAGCAGUUUUCUGCACUGCGUACCGGUACUCGGGGAAGAGUACCGGUACCCUGCACAAAAUUCUGCUCAACCCGAGUCUCGGUCAAGCCUUCACACUACGGCGUACCGGUACUCGGCCAAUGCUCUACUGGGACCCGACCACCCAACAGCUCAAACUCGAGAGCAGCUUCUCUCGGUUAUACAGGGGAGUUCUGGUACCAUCUCUCUGGUAUCGGUACUCAGCACCACAAAACCUACAGUUUGAAGGUUUUGGUGCUAAGUACUCCGCCUCACGUUCUCACAACACGAGUAAUCGGUCGGUACUCAGUCAACGACCUUCAAAAUCACUAAGAAUAGCGCAAGCACUAUUCUAACACUGGAACCUUGCAAUUUGCUAAAGUUCAGUGUGUUACAUAUGAAUUCAUAUAUAAGUGUUUGUGCAUGCGAUAGUGUAGAAUUCGCAUACAUGCUAAAUGACAUCUCAUAUAGAGGCAUGAUAUAGUUGAGAUUUACUUUUCAUAUUUUCUAUAUCAUAUCUAUGCCUCAGUUGACCUAGUGCUGUAUUUCACCACUCUCGGCUGCUUACCCACUGGAAACUAUAAAUUGUUUAAUAGUUCUCACACCCAUUGAUUGGUUGUUUUUGUUUCAGAGUCUUCCGCAGCGGGAAAGGUUAGGGAUCGUGGCAAGGGAGGCAACGACUAGCUAGAGCCUCACGAUAUGUGAUAGAUGAACCCACAAUAUAUCUAGUCGCUUAGUGUUGUGAUGUAAUUGUACAUUUUGUGAGAUCCUAUGUUUUCAUAUUGUACCCUUGAUUAGAAUUGUUGUAAUCUUGAGGUUUUAGUUCCAACAUUUUGUAUCUAGUUGUUGUAUAAUCUCGCUCUGAUUACCAUGUUUAGGAUGGAUUUUUCUAUUGCUUUUCUUGACUAUUGUAGACGCUUUGUGCACAUCAUGGUUUUGGUGUGUACGACGGGUCUGGGCACCCGCCCGGCGGGCUUUCGCUGCAGCCCGAGGCGUGACAUAUAAAAACUAGCCAUUGGGUGUCAUGACCCAAACCCCACAAAUAGAAUCAAGACCACUGCGCCUCCAUAAAAUCAAAUUUAAUUUAAAUUCAAAACUUAUGGGUGUGCAAGGCUUCCACUAUAGCAAGAUCAGCUGACAAUAAAAAAACUCUAUAUAGGGUAAUCAAUAUUAUAGCAAGAAUAUUGGAGGAAAUAAAAUCAUCCCAAUUAAGUAUAAAUGAUGCAGAAAUGUAAAUACUAUUAGCACAAACGAAAAUAGUGUGUAUAUAUGGACUAAUACAAAUAAAAUAUAACAUAUAAAGUACAUAUAUAUCAAACUAUAGGAGUUCGGCUGGGAUACUAUCAAUAGCAUCAAGCAUUUGGCGCUGUUAGAUUUAACCCUUUGACUAUUUUCACCCGUUAGAUUAUACUAUUCAACCAAUAACUUACUCAACCCUAGGGGCCUACAUCAUCCUAACCGUAUAUUUUUUCACCCAAGGGCAAAAAACCUAAUAGCACCAAUAGCUUGGCUGUAAUAUACCAAACUUCUACAAUUAUAAUGUUUCGAUAGGAAUUAGCUUA
rnacentral:lncRNA from 1 species